GAGGGUGUGGAUGCCGUGGAGCACAUACGGCUCGGUGAUCGAGUAGAAGAGUCUCUCCCAGAGUGGUUAGUAGGUGCUGGUGAAGAGCAACCAUGCUUCCCUUCCCUCCAAAAUUUGACUCUCUCCAACAAAUCUGUCGCCGAGGGCUGCCUGAUUGGCCUCUGAUUCGAUGACACAUCACCCAUGUUGAAGCAAUCAACAAGUAUGGGCCAAUGGCAGUGAUCAACUCUACAAGAAAGAGCUGCUUCAGCAAGCAGGGGAUGUUAUACUGCUUGGCAACUAUUUGAUACUCUGCAUCAUUCUCAUGCUUUCAGAUUGAUAUCUCGGUGUAGGAUUGGCACAUUCUCCUUCAACACCAGUAUCUCUCGUCUUCAACAACACCAAGCAACAGCAUAAUGACAUGCAAAAGGAAGUUUGAGAGGCCCAACAGACCAGCUUUAAGUCCUUGUUUCUGAAGGCUUCCGUCCAAGCGUAUUCAUAGCUGUGGUUCCAGCAGAGUCCAUAUAUACCACAAGCAAUUACCCAUCUACGCUAUGAAUUCU